rnacentral:rRNA from 1 species
AGCACCGGCUAACUCCGUGCCAGCAGCCGCGGUAAUACGGAGGGUGCGAGCGUUAAUCGGAAUUACUGGGCGUAAAGGGUGCGUAGGUGGUUGUAUAAGUUAUCUGUGAAAUCCCUGGGCUCAACCUGGGCAGGACAGAUAAUACUGUUUGACUCGAGUAUGGGAGAGGGUAGUGGAAUUUCCGGUGUAGCGGUGAAAUGCGUAGAGAUCGGAAGGAACAUCAGUGGCGAAGGCGGCUACCUGGCCUAAUACUGACACUGAGGCACGAAAGCGUGGGGAGCAAACAGGAUUAGAUACCCUGGUAGUCCACGCUGUAAACGAUGUCAACU